UACAGAGGUCUUAAGCGUUGUUCGGAUUCAUUGGGCGUAAAGAGCGUGUAGGCGGCCACACAGGUCUGCUGUGAAAACUCGAGGCUCAACCUCGAGCUGUCGGUGGAAACCGUGUGGCUAGAGUCCGGAAGAGGCGAGUGGAAUUCCCGGUGUAACGGUGAAAUGCGCAGAUAUCGGGAGGAACACCAAUGGCGAAGGCAGCUCGCUGGGACGUUACUGACGCUGAGACGCGAAAGCGUGGGGAGCAAACAGG
rnacentral:rRNA from 1 species